rnacentral:rRNA from 1 species
CCUACGGGAGGCAGCAGUGGGGAAUCUUGCGCAAUGGGCGAAAGCCUGACGCAGCGACGCCGCGUGGGGGAUGAAGCAUUUCGGUGUGUAAACCCCUUUCGACUGGGACGAAUGCCUCGCAAGAGGAGUGACGGUACCAGUAGAAGAAGCCCCGGCUAACUACGUGCCAGCAGCCGCGGUAAU